ensembl:lncRNA
AGUUCAGAAACUGUUGGACCUUUAACUCGCGUCCUGCUGGUUAAUGUGUCACAAGUUAAAUAGUUCGUCUAACUUCUGGAGUUUAGUUUCAGUUUAGUUCAUGUUUACAGGACGUUUGUAGACGAUACAAACAGUAAGGUAAUAGUGAAUCGUUUCGGUCUUUGUUUAGGAAUGUGACUAAUCACAUGAUUAGUGUCAUAUGACAUUGACGAGCCCACGAAAGAGGGAAUGAGAGCAGAAACAGUACCCAAUAAUACACUAAUACUGUCUGUGGUGAUGAAUUCAGAUGGCUAGACAGAUGUGGAGACUCCUGAAGUAAACCGCUGGAUCAUGGAGCGUUUGGGAGCUCAGUCUCUUCUCGCCAUCGCUUGUGUUUUGGGAGUGGUGGUGAGUCAGACAACACUCAGUCCUGCUGUGACGAUCACCACAACCAGUGCAAGCAUGAGCACUACAGGGCCCAGCUGCUCCAGCCUCAACACCUCCACCUGCGUGGCCUGCGCUCCUGGCUCUUAUUAUGAUAACGAAACUCUGCUGUGUUCCUGCUGUCCCGAGGCAGGCCUGUGUGUGUUACCUGGAGCCUGUCUUCUGUGCGUCCAGGGUUUCUAUCAGCCUCUAGCAGGACAGCAGGGCUGUGUGCCCUGUUCAUCUGGGUUUUACAGCAAUUCCACUGGAAGCCCUGUCUGCCAGCCGUGCCCUACUGGGUCCUACAGCAAUAACACAGGCUCUGCCUCCUGUACAGCAUGUGCACCAGGUUUCUACACAUCUUUGCAAAAUUCAACAUCCUGUAACCCAUGUCCACAAGGCACGUCCUGCAAGUAAGUUUCUUUUUUUGACCAUUGCACCAUAAAAAAUACAUCUCAGGCUUUGAGUAAUAUGCACUUUAUUAUUAUUUUUUUUUGUGUACACAUUACAUUUUUUAAUGUAGAAAUUAAACAUUGGAUAUUUAAUAACAUUUAGUUGUAUGUGCGCGCACACACACACAUACACACUCAUAUAUAUAUAUAUAUAUAUAUAUAUAUAUAUAUAUAUAUAUA